rnacentral:rRNA from 1 species
AUUGAACGCUGGCGGCAGGCCUAACACAUGCAAGUCGAGCGGCAGCGGGAAAGUAGCUUGCUACUUUUGCCGGCGAGCGGCGGACGGGUGAGUAAUGCCUGGGAAAUUGCCCAGUCGAGGGGGAUAACAGUUGGAAACGACUACUAAUACCGCAUACGCCCUACGGGGGAAAGCAGGGGACCUUCGGGCCUUGCGCGAUUGGAUAUGCCUAGGUGGGAUUAGCUAGUUGGUGAGGUAAUGGCUCACCAAGGCGACGAUCCCUAGCUGGUCUGAGAGGAUGAUCAGCCACACUGGGACUGAGACACGGUCCAGACUCCUACGGGAGGCAGCAGUGGGGAAUAUUGCACAAUGGGGGAAACCCUGAUGCAGCCAUGCCGCGUGUGUGAAGAAGGCCUUCGGGUUGUAAAGCACUUUCAGCGAGGAGGAAAGGUUGAUGCCUAAUACGUAUCAACUGUGACGUUACUCGCAGAAGAAGCACCGGCUAACUCCGUGCCAGCCGCCGCCGUAACAC